UACGGAGGGUGCAAACGUUGCUCGGAAUCAUUGGGCGUAAAGCGCACGUAGGCGGACUGUUAAGUCGGACGUGAAAUCCCUCAGCUUAACUGAGGAAGUGCAUUCGAAACUAGCAGUCUUGAGUACAGGAGAGGGUCGCGGAAUUCCCGGUGUAGAGGUGAAAUUCGUAGAUAUCGGGAGGAACACCCAGGGGGAAACCAGUCGACUGGGCAUCUACUGACGCUGAGGUGCGAGAGCGUGGGGAGCGAACCGG
rnacentral:rRNA from 1 species